rnacentral:misc_RNA from 1 species
UUAUUAAUUUAUUCUCAAUAAAGAGAUAUUGACAUUCCUAACUUUAAGAGUGUAAAAUGUGUAAAAACAGUAUUGUGCACAGGGUGAAGGAAAUGAAUAGGUCGGAUCUCUAAAUAGAGCGUCCUUGUAUUUCAUUAAUGAUCCUUCCGCAGGUUCACCUACGGAAA